rnacentral:rRNA from 1 species
AUGAGACAAACCUUGGAAUUGAAAGGGUUUAGGCUUAGUAGAACUAAAACCGAGUACAUGAUGUGCGGUUUCAAUACUACUAGGUGUGAGGAGGAGGAGGUUAGCCUUGAUGGCCAGGUGGUACCUCGGAAGGACACAUUUCGGUAUUUGGGGUCAAUGUUGCAGGAGGAUGGGGGUAUUGAUGAAGAUGUGAACCAUCGAAUCAAAGCCGGAUGGAUGAAGUGGCGCCAAGCUUCUGGCAUUCUCUGUGACAAGAGAGUGCCACAAAAGCUAAAAGGCAAGUUCUAUAGGACGGCGGUUCGACCCGCAAUGUUGUAUGGCGCAGAGUGUUGGCCGACUAAAAGGCGACAUGUUCAACAGUUAGGUGUGGCGGAGAUGCGUAUGUUGAGAUGGAUGUGUGGCCACACGAGGAAGGAUCGAGUCCGGAAUGAUGAUAUACGAGAUAGAGUUGGGGUAGCACCAAUUGAGGAGAAGCUUGUCCAACAUCGUCUGAGAUGGUUUGGGCAUAUUCAGCGCAGGCCUCCAGAAGCUCCAGUGCAUAGCGGACGGCUAAAGCGUGCGGAGAAUGUCAAGAGAGGGCGGGGUCGACCAAAUUUGACAUGGGAGGAGUCCGUUAAGAGAGACCUGAAGGAUUGGAGUAUCGACAAAGGGCUAGCUAUGGACAGGGGUGUGUGGAAGCUUGCUAUCCAUGUGCCAGAGCCAUGA